UACGUAGGUGGCGAGCGUUGUCCGGAAUUACUGGGUGUAAAGGGCGUGUAGGCGGGAAUGCAAGUCAGAUGUGAAAUUCCAGGGCUCAACCCUGGCGCUGCAUCUGAAACUGGAGGACUAGAGUGCAGGAGAGGAAAGUGGAAUUCCCAGUGUAGCGGUGAAAUGCUUAGAUAUCACGAAGAACUCCAAUUGCGAAGGCAGCUCACUGGGGUACAACUGACACUGAGGCUCGAAAGUGUGGGUAUCAAAC
rnacentral:rRNA from 1 species